rnacentral:rRNA from 1 species
UACGGGGGGAGCAAGCGUUGUUCGGAUUUACUGGGCGUAAAGGGCGCGUAGGCGGCCACCGCAAGUCACUUGUGAAAUCUCCGGGCUUAACCCGGAAAGGUCAACUGAUACUGCGGGGCUAGAGUGCAGAAGGGGCAACUGGAAUUCUCGGUGUAGCGGUGAAAUGCGUAGAUAUCGAGAGGAACACCUGCGGCGAAGGCGGGUUGCUGGGCUGACACUGACGCUGAGGAGCGAAAGCCAGGGGAGCAAACGGG